rnacentral:lncRNA from 1 species
UGUUGUUUAUCAUCUUAACAACGUGUUUUAUAGUUCUUUCAUUUGUCUUUGUUCUAUUAUUAAUAUUACUUUUACUGUUGAAUGGUUUUAUGUGAUAUCCGUUUCACGUGGCUCGGUACUUAUACAUCUCGUCAAUGUGUUUGUAUUGGCUUUCAUUUUUUUGUGGUUUGUUUUGUAUUUGCGACUUUUUGUAUUUCUUUUUUUCUUAUAACGUGACUCUGUACUUUAAAAGAUCCCGUCAGUAUGAUAUUGUUCUAUUAUAUGUCAUUAUGAUAUAUUUCUAUUAUGAAUUACAAUAUACGUUGAACCACAAACGUCAAAAUCAU